rnacentral:tRNA from 1 species
CCUGGUGGCUCAGACGGUAAGGCGUCUGCCUGUAAUGCAGGAGACCCGGGUUCAAUCCCUGGGUCAGGA